UACAGAGGGUGCAAGCGUUAAUCGGAAUUACUGGGCGUAAAGCGCGCGUAGGUGGUUUGUUAAGUUGGAUGUGAAAGCCCCCGGGCUCAACCUGGGAACUGCAUUCAAAAACUGACAAGCUAGAGUAUGGUAGAGGGUGGUGGAAUUUCCUGUGUAGCGGUGAAAUGCGUAGAUAUAGGAAGGAACACCAGUGGCGAAGGCGACCACCUGG
rnacentral:rRNA from 1 species